rnacentral:rRNA from 11 species
ACCUUCAGUUUUCUCAAGCUUCUAAAUAUCUGAAGCCACCAGAUUUGGUGUGAUCUUGGAAGCUAAUCAGGAUCAGCCCUGGUUACUACUUCGGUGGGAGAUUUCCAAGGAAUACCAGGUGCUGAAGGUU